rnacentral:tRNA from 1 species
GCUUCGGUAGCUCAGUUGGUAGAGCACUUGCCCUCGAAAGGCAAAGGUCCCGAGUUUGAGUCUCGGUCGAGCGCA